UACGAAGGGGGCUAGCGUUGCUCGGAAUCACUGGGCGUAAAGCGCACGUAGGCGGAUUGUUAAGUCAGGGGUGAAAUCCUGGAGCUCAACUCCAGAACUGCCUUUGAUACUGGCAAUCUCGAGUCCGGGAGAGGUGAGUGGAACUGCGAGUGUAGAGGUGAAAUUCGUAGAUAUCAGGAAGAACACCCGUGGCUAAGGCGGCUCUCUAGUACGGUACUGACGCUGAGACGCGAAAGCGUGGGGAGCGAACAGG
rnacentral:rRNA from 1 species